AGGGACGACCAUUACUGAGGAAAUCCUCGUCACGGCGACAGAAACAGUCACCGCCACCAACACUAUUCAAGGGACGACCAUUACUGAGGCGAUCCUCGCCACGUCAUCGGAAACAGUGACCGCCACCAAUACUAUUCAAGAUGCCAAGACAACUGACGAAGACGAAUGGUUCCCACCUCCAGUCACCCAAGGCCCAACAAGGAGCACAUUUCCCUCAGGGAAUGUCACAGGCUCCUCAU